rnacentral:tRNA from 1 species
ACUUAUAUAUUUUAUAUAGAAUUUUGCGUUGAAGGUGCAAGGGUGAUUGGAUGAUCUGUAAGUA